CCAGUACUUCCCGUGUAUCUGCUUGCCAUAGCUGCACAAGAUCUAUAGGAGUCUUUCCAGCCUGCGGCAGGAGAAAGAGGUGAGAAUGAGCCUCAUCUGCGGCUGCACAAUUGCUGUUACCCACCAUAAGUUAUUGCCUGGAGUGAGGUUUUUUGCGUAGCUCAAAGAGGUACUGGGUGCCACCAACUUCAAUGAUCUCGCGCCUUAGGUCCACAGAGCUCUUC